rnacentral:rRNA from 1 species
UACGUAGGGUCCGAGCGUUGUCCGGAAUUAUUGGGCGUAAAGAGCUCGUAGGCGGUUUGUCGCGUCUGCUGUGAAAUCCCGAGGCUCAACCUCGGGUCUGCAGUGGGUACGGGCAGACUGGAGUGCGGUAGGGGAGAAUGGAAUUCCUGGUGUAGCGGUGAAAUGCGCAGAUAUCAGGAAGAACACCAGUGGCGAAGGCGGUGCUCUGGGCCGGAACUGACGCUGAGGAGCGAAAGCGUGGGGAGCAAACAGG